rnacentral:rRNA from 1 species
CGGGUGAGUAACGCGUGGGUAACCUGCCUCAUACAGGGGGAUAACAGUUGGAAACGACUGCUAAUACCGCAUAAGCGCACAGGAUCGCAUGAUCCGGUGUGAAAAACUCCGGUGGUAUGAGAUGGAUCCGCGUCUGAUUAGCCAGUUGGCAGGGUAACGGCCUACCAAAGCGACGAUCAGUAGCCGACCUGAGAGGGUGACCGGCCACAUUGGGACUGAGACACGGCCCAA